rnacentral:rRNA from 1 species
CGGCGGACGGGCGAGUAACGCGUGGGUAACCUGCCUCAUACAGGGGGAUAACAGUUGGAAACGGCUGCUAAUACCGCAUAAGCGCACAGUACCGCAUGGUACGGUGUGAAAAACUCCGGUGGUAUGAGAUGGACCCGCGUCUGAUUAGGUAGUUGGUGGGGUAACGGCCUACCAAGCCGACGAUCAGUAGCCGACCUGAGAGGGUGACCGGCCACAUUGGGACUGAGACACGGCCCAA